rnacentral:rRNA from 1 species
AACAAGAAACACGGGAGCGGUUCCUCCUCACACUUUCCACGCAUGUCAUGCAUGCGAGGGGGCGUCCGUGAAUUUUACUGUGACCAAAAAAGUGCGACCAAAGCAGUCCGCCGACUUGAAUUACAAAGCAUGGGAUAACGAAGCAUCAGCCCUAGGGCCACCGUUUCGGCUUUUGUUGGUUUUAGCAGCCAUUGGGAGAUUAUGGGAGCCCGUGCCCGGGGCUAUGCCCACGCCUCAUGGCGUGCCUGGCAUAUUCGCCCCUUCUUCCCCCUGUGCGCGCCUCUCCCCUGGUGGGGAGAGUGUGUGGUGGGGGGGGGAGACGCGCGGUUCCCGGGAAUGAAGGAGGGUAGUCGGGGGAGAACGUACUGGUGCGUCAGAGGUGAAAUUCUUAGACCGCACCAAGACGAACUACAGCGAAGGCAUUCUUCAAGGAUACUUUCCUCAAUCAAGAACCAAAGUGUGGGGAUCAAAGAUGAUUAGAGACCAUUGUAGUCCACACUGCAAACCAUGACACCCAUGAAUUGGGGAGCGCUACUGUGGUUCCCCGUGCUUCGGCGUCUUCGUGACGCCGUCUCACGGUCCCAGUACUUAACAAUUUACGUGCCUAUUCUUAUAUUCCGCCUGGCGUGCUUCGUUGUACGCCAUGGCGGUUCUUACGGGAAUAUCCUCAGCAC